GACGUAGGGCGCGAGCGUUGUUCGGAUUCACUGGGCGUAAAGGGCGCGUAGGUGGCCAGGUAAGUUUGGUGUGAAAGCUCGGAGCUUAACUCCGAAAUGUCAUUGAAUACUAUCUGGCUGGAGGGUCGGAGGGGAGACUGGAAUUCUCGGUGUAGCAGUGAAAUGCGUAGAUAUCGAGAGGAACACCAGUGGCGAAGGCGAGUCUCUGGACGACUCCUGACACUGAGGCACGAAAGCUAGGGGAGCAAACAGG
rnacentral:rRNA from 1 species